GGAUUCACCCUUCGCUUCUUCCAGUUCCGAUACCGUAUACUAUACUUGUUGCGGUUAAAAAGCUCGUAUCUGAAUUUCAGCUCUGCACGGAACGGACGGACCCAACUUGCGUCGUCGAGUUAAGGUUUUCCCCGCAUCCUGUCGCGAACCGAGCUACCAUUACAUUGGUGUGGCCGGGCAUCGGAUCGAUUACUUUGAUAAAAAUAAAGUGUACAGAGCAGGCCACACCCCUUGAAUAAAUUAGCAUGGAAUAAUGACUAAAGACUUUGGUUCUUUUCUUUGCUGUUCGGGACUGAAGUAAUGAUUGAUAGGGACAGUUGGGGGCGGUCCGUAUUCCAAAGCGAGAGGAGAAAUUCUUAGACCUUCGGAAGACGAACAGCUGCGAAAGCGUUCCGCAAGGAUGUUCCCUUUGAUCAAGAACGAAAGUUGGGGGAUCGAAGACGAUCAGAUACCGUCGUAGUCUCAACUAUAAACUAUACCAGCUAGGGAUCGGCCAACGUUUAACUUUAUCGACUUGGUCGGCACCUUAUGAGAAAUCAAAGCAUCUGGGUUCCGGGGGGAGUAUGGUCGCAAGGCUGAAACUUAAAGGAAUUGACGGAAGGGCACCACCAGCCGUGGAGCCUGUGGCUUAAUUUGACUCAACACGGGAAAACUUACCAGGUCCAGACAUAGGAAGGAUUGACAGAUUGAUAGCUCUUUCUUGAUUCUGUGGGUGGUGGUGCAUGGCCGUUUUUAGUCGGUGGAUGUGAUCUGUCUGCUUAAUUGCGUUAACGGACGAGACCCCAGCCUGCUAAAUAGCGCGGCCGAGCUUUGCUCGGUGCGAGCUUCUUAGAGGGACCAUGAUGCGCGAUAGCACAAGGAAGUUUGGGGCAACAACAGGUCUGUGAUGCCCUUAGAUGUUCUGGGCCGCACACGGGCUACACUGGCGCCUGCAACGAGCAUAUCAGCUGGCCCGAGAGGGUCUUGGCUAAUCUUUGGAACCGGCGCCGUGCUUGGGAUUGACCAUUGCAAUUGUUGGUCAUGCAACGAGGAAUGCCUUGUAAACGCGAGUCAUCAGCUCGCAUUGAAUACGUCCCUGCCCCUUGUACACACCGCCC
rnacentral:rRNA from 1 species